rnacentral:misc_RNA from 1 species
GGGUCUUCGGCAAUUCAAGAAGAUAGCAUAAUGAAAGAAGACUUUCCCGCAGAACAAGCAGAUGACAUGAAAGAAGCCGUAGCUGAAGUUAGGAACACUGUUGAAGUUGGGAAGUCGGAUGAAAAGUUCAUUGAAGAAGGGUUGCGUAAAAGGAAAAUUGUAAAAGUUUUGAAGGUCAAAAAGAAAAUUAUAAAGAAAUCCCCAGCUAGCGGUGUGUUGAAGAGAAAAAAGGCGCAAGUUGAACAGGAAGAUGACAAAAAGGAAAAAGUGGUUCGUGUAGCUCAAGGGGAAGAGACACAGGUUGAACAAGAAGAUGACAAAAAGGAAAAAGAGGUUCCUGUAGCUCAAGAGGUGGAAGAAACACUUGAACCCCAGAAUCCCACCGAAAAUUCCAAACUAGAGUCAAAGGUUCCUAUAGAUCAAGAAGUGGAAGAAACAGCUCAACCUCAGAAUCCCAUUGAAAAUUCCAAACCAGAGUCAAAGGCGAAGAAGACUAACAAUGUUUUGAAGGUCAAAAGGAAAAUUGUAAAGAAAUC